UUUUUCAUUUCACAGCCUUCAUGGGGCUUUGAAUUCAGCCUCAAACAUUGUGAUAAUCCGAUCCUGACACUUGCCCUCCCCUCAUUCACUCUUUUAACAAUCCCAAGAGAGUGCAGGACUGAGAUCCGAAAAUGUUAUUAUGGAGGGGAAAUAAAGGUUAUUUUGAAUGCUUCAAGGUCACGUGACUUGUAAGAAGAAGUCAGUUGCUAUGUACAAAGUCCUACUACUCUAAGACUGCCAUACCAUGAGAAGCCCAACCUAGCCAUGUGGAGAGGUCAUGUGAAGGAGAACUGAGUCUUCCAGCCAGCAACCCCAGCUGAGCUUCCAGCCAACAAACAGCACUAACUUGCAUGGGAGAAGCUGUCCAGGAAGUGAAUCCUUGAGCUCCAAUUGAGCUGCCUCAAGCUGGUGUCACGUGGAGCAGAGAUGAGCUGUCCCUGACAUACCUUGCACAAAUUUCAGAAACAUAAGUAAAUAAAAGAAAUAUUUGUAUUUUAA